rnacentral:rRNA from 1 species
CUACGGGACGCAGCAGUAGGGAAUUUUCCACAAUGGGCGCAAGCCUGAUGGAGCAACGCCGCGUGCAGGAUGAAGGCCCUCGGGUCGUAAACUGCUUUUAUUAGUGAAGAAUAUGACGGUAACUAAUGAAUAAGGGUCGGCUAACUACGUGCCAGCAGCCGCGGUCAUACGUAGGACCCAAGCGUUAUCCGGACUUACUGGGCGUAAAGAGUUGCGUAGGUGGCAUAGUAAGAGAGAUGUGAAAGCGUGCGGCUCAACCGCAUAUCCGCAUUUUAAACUGCUAAGCUAGAGUAUGAAAGAGGUAGUUAGAAUUCCCGGUGUAGGGUUGGAAUCCGUAGAUAUUGGGAGGAAUACCGAAGGCGUAGGCAGACUACUGGUUCAUUACUGACACUAAGGCACGAAAGCGUGGGGAGCAAACAGGAUUAGAUACCCGCGUAGUC